UACGUAGGGGGCAAGCGUUGUCCGGAAUCAUUGGGCGUAAAGAGCGCGUAGGCGGUCCGGUAAGUCCGCUCUGAAAGUCCGGGGCUCAACCCCGGGAGGCGGGCGGAUACUGUCGGGCUAGAGUCCGGGAGAGGCGAGUGGAAUUCCUGGUGUAGCAGUGAAAUGCGUAGAGAUCGAGAGGAACACCAGUGGCGAAGGCGAGUUCCUGGACAAGUCCUGACGCUGAGGCACGAAAGCCAGGGGAGCAAACAGG
rnacentral:rRNA from 1 species